rnacentral:rRNA from 1 species
GACGGACGCGGCGGCGUGCCUAAUACAUGCAAGUCGAACGCUUCUUUCCUCCCGAGUGCUUGCACUCAAUUGGAAAGAGGAGUGGCGGACGGGUGAGUAACACGUGGGUAACCUACCCAUCAGAGGGGGAUAACACUUGGAAACAGGUGCUAAUACCGCAUAACAGUUUAUGCCGCAUGGCAUAAGAGUGAAAGGCGCUUUCGGGUGUCGCUGACGGAUGGACCCGCGGUGCAUUAGCUAGUUGGUGAGGUAACGGCUCACCAAGGCCACGAUGCAUAGCCGACCUGAGAGGGUGAUCGGCCACACUGGGACUGAGACACGGCCCAGACUCCUACGGGAGGCAGCAGUAGGGAAUCUUCGGCAAUGGACGAAAGUCUGACCGAGCAACGCCGCGUGAGUGAAGAAGGUUUUCGGA